rnacentral:rRNA from 1 species
AGCAGCCGCGGUAAUUCCAGCUCCAAUAGCGUAUAUUAAAGUUGUUGCAGUUAAAAAGCUCGUAGUUGAAUUUCGGGGUUAGUAGGCUGGUCGUGCCACUGGUACGUACUGGUCUCACUGACUCCUCCUUCCUGAUGAACUGUAAUGCCAUUAAUUUGGUGUUGCAGGGAAACUGGACUGUUACUUUGAAAAAUUAGAGUGUUUAAAGCAAGCUAACGCUUGAAUACAUUAGCAUGGAAUAAUGAAAUAGGACGUUCGAUCCUAUUUUGUUGGUUUCUAGGAUUGACGUAAUGAUUAAUAGGGAUAGUUGGGGCAUUAGUAUUCAAUUGUCAGAGGUGAAAUUCUUGGAUUUAUUGAAGACUAACUACUGCGAAAGC